rnacentral:rRNA from 1 species
CGGCGGGUGCUAUACUGCAAGUCGAACGGUACUCGCAAGAGUACAGUGGCGAACGGGUGAGUAACGCGUUGGUGACCUGCCCCUUAGAGAGGGAUAACAGAUCGAAAGAUCUGCUAAUACCGCAUGAGAUCCUUGGGAUUAGAAGCUGAGGAUGAAAGCCGAAAGGCGCUGAGGGAGGGACCUGCGUCCCAUCAGCUAGUUGGUGAGGUAACGGCCCACCAAGGCGAUGACGGGUAGGGGACCUGAGAGGGUGACCCCCCACAAUGGAACUGAAACACGGUCCAUACACCUACGGGUGGCAGCAGUAGGGAAUAUUGGGAAUGGGCGCAAGCCUGACCCAGCAACGCCGCGUGAGUGAUGAAGGCCUUCGGGUUGUAAAACUCUUUUCACCGGGAAGAGGAAGGACGGUACCGGUGGAAUAAGUCUCGGCUAACUACGUGCCAGCAGCCGCGGUAACACGUAGGAGACAAGCGUUAUCCGGAUUUACUGGGUGUAAAGCGCGUGCAGGCGGUCUCGUAAGUUGGAUGUGAAAGCUCCUGGCUUAACUGGGAGAGGUCGUUCAAUACUGUGGGACUAGAGGAUGGCAGAGGGGAGUGGAAUUCCGAGUGUAGCGGUAAAAUGCAUAGAUAUUCGGAAGAACACCAGUGGCGAAGGCGGCUCUCUGGGCCAUAUCUGACGCUCAGACGCGAAAGCUAGGGUAGCAAACGGGAUUAGAGACCCCGGUAGUCCUAGCCGUAAACGAUGUGAACUUGGGCGUUGGUGGGUUCAAAUCCAUCAGUGCCGUAGCAAACGCGAUAAGUUCACCACCUGGGGACUACGGCCGCAAGGUUAAAACUCAAAGGAAUUGAC